rnacentral:rRNA from 1 species
UACGAGAGGCCCAAACGUUAUUCGGAUUUACUGGGCUUAAAGAGUUCGUAGGCGGCUCGUCGCGUCGACCGUGAAAACUUGGGGCUUAACCCUAAGCUUGCGGUUGAUACGGGCGGGCUAGAGUUCGGUAGGGGAGACUGGAAUUCCUGGUGUAGCGGUGAAAUGCGCAGAUAUCAGGAGGAACACCGGUGGCGAAGGCGGGUCUCUGGGCCGAUACUGACGCUGAGGAGCGAAAGCGUGGGGAGCGAACAGG